CUGCUUGUGACCAGGAUGAACGAAGCGCCGAUAAAUUAUACAUUUGAGUCGUGUCUCCAAAUUGCUCUGCAAUUAUUGAGCAACAAGGUUCAGUUGCCUUCAAGCACCACCUCACAUCUGACCACUGCAAAACACACUGAAGUGCUCACGUGGCUCCCCGAGCACAGGAGAACAAUCAGCCCAUUAAAAACAGCAAAUUAACGAACACAAGAGUUCCAUUAGGAGGAGAAGGCGACUGAACUAUCCAAUUUCACCACAUCAUUAGCAUUUCUUAUCAGAGAGACAGAGGAAGAAUAGGUCUUUAAAAUACAGAAGGACAGGAUGGAGUCUAGUGUCCAAAAAGGGGCCAGACGAUCUGCCUGGGAGACACCAGCGCACGGAGCGCAGGAGCCAGGGCACGGUGUGCAGUAUCCAGUGCACAGCGUGCAGGAUCCAGCGCACUGUGUGCAGGAUCCAGCGCACGCUGUGCAAUAUCCAGUGCAUGCUGGGCAGGAUGCAGUGCAUCACGUGCAGUAUGCAGUGCACGCUGUGCAGCAUCCAGGGCACAGUGUGCAGGAUGCAGCGCACGCUGUGCAAUAUCCAGUGCAUGCUGGGCAGGAUGCAGUGCAUCACGUGCAGUAUCCAGUGCACGCUGUGCAGCAUCCAGAGCACAGCGUGCAGGAUCCAGCGCACAGUGUGCAAUAUCCAGUGCAUGCUGGGCAGGAUGCAAUGCGUCACGUGCACUAUCCAGUGCACGCUGCGCAGGAUGCAGUGCAUCAUGCACAAUACCCAGUACAUAUUGUGCAAUAUCCAAUGCACGCUGUGCUCCCUGGACCUGGUGCCACACCAAAGCCCCACAGUUUGGUGAGGGACCAAGUCCCUUCUCAGAAAGCCCCGCGUCCCUCCACUCUCCCCCAGCCAGCCCUCAGCUCCCUGGGCGCCGGUGACNNNNNNNNNNNNNNNNNNNNCCAAUUUCGCGCCCUCGAGCCUCCCCGGCGCUGGCAGCGCGUGGCCCUGCCCUGCUCCGGGCAGCGGACGAUGCACCGGUCCCGCUCUGCAGAGCUGCCGGCCGGGCAUGCACUGAAACACAGGGGUAUCGGUGCCCUCGCUUCACACCCGCGAGCCCUUCAGCGUUCCCUCUCUCCUGCCUUUGGAAGGGACCCGCGGGAGCGUACGCCCGUGGGGGCUCGGCCUUGCCCCCGUGCAGCAGCUGGGCAACUCGGGCUCCCAGGUAAAUCUUCCAUCUUCUGCACUUCCCACGAAAAUGUAUUCUUACCCCUUCUCGCUCUUCGAAACAGAGCCAGAAAAUGAGGUGCGUUUGAUUAAAUUUAAAUAGCAUUACUGCUAGGAAAGAAACUCAGCAAAACUGGGCCAUUAAAAAUUAAGGUUUCCGCUCAGGCGCAGCGGGGCAGGCUGCAGAGCAGCCGAUGCUCGCUCCCUCGC
rnacentral:lncRNA from 1 species